rnacentral:misc_RNA from 1 species
UCCCUAUUAACUAGGGCAGUUUCCCGUGAAAAAUACAACACAGGAUAGGGGUUGCGCUCGUUAGCCCACUGAAGGGUACACCUCACGGCACGAGCUGACGACAACCGUGCAACACCUGUCAUUCCGUUCCUUGCGGCACUCCUCUGUUUCCAGAGGAUUCGGAAGAUGUCAAGCCUGGGUAAGGUUCUACGCUUAUUAUCGAAUUAAACCACACGCUCCACCACUUGUGCAGGUCCCCGUCAAUUCCUUUGAGUUUUAAGCUUGCGCUCGUACUCCCCAGGCGGCACACUUAACGCGUUAGCUUCGGUCCAAGAAAGGGUCGAUACUCUCCAAGACCUAGUGUGCAUCGUUUACGGCGUGGACUAC